rnacentral:rRNA from 1 species
UACGAAGGGGGCUAGCGUUGCUCGGAUUGACUGGGCGUAAAGGGCGCGUAGGCGGAUAGUACAGUCAGGCGUGAAAUUCCUGGGCUCAACCUGGGGGCUGCGUUUGAUACGUAUUGUCUGGAGUUCGGAAGAGGGUCGUGGAAUUCCCAGUGUAGAGGUGAAAUUCGUAGAUAUUGGGAAGAACACCGGUGGCGAAGGCGGCGACCUGGUCGGAUACUGACGCUGAGGCGCGAAAGCGUGGGGAGCAAACAGG